rnacentral:rRNA from 1 species
UACGUAGGGGGCAAGCGUUGUCCGGAUUUAUUGGGCGUAAAGCGCACGUAGGCGGAUUUGUAAGUCAGGGGUGAAAUCCCGGGGCUCAACCUCGGAACUGCCUUUGAUACUGCAAAUCUCGAGUCCGAUAGAGGUGGGUGGAAUUCCUAGUGUAGAGGUGAAAUUCGUAGAUAUUAGGAAGAACACCGGUGGCGAAGGCGGCCCACUGGAUCGGUACUGACGCUGAGGUGCGAAAGCGUGGGGAGCGAACAGG